AUCCAACUGAGCAGUCCCAAAUAGGACGAAACGCGCGUCUUUCAU
rnacentral:hammerhead_ribozyme from 1 species